rnacentral:tRNA from 1 species
GCCCCGGAAGCUCAACGGAUUGAGCACUCCCAUGACUAAGGAACGGCUGCGGGUUCGAAUCCCGUCCGGGGCA